UGGAAAAGCGAAGACCGGCCCUAAAGAGCCUGGUGACGUCAUUCGGGCUUUGAAAUAGGGUUUUUCAAACAUUGGGCACAGAAGUAAGCCAAACCAAUACAAUUUCCAAUAAAUGUCUCUGUUCAAACAGAACAGAACAGCUUGAGCAAAACAAAAAAAUGACAAAAGAUCAUGGGUCAUCCUUAAAUUAUUAACAAUGUCAAUUGCUCUACUAUGUGAUGUGCGUG